CGUAACAAGGUUUCCGUAGGUGAACCUGCGGAAGGAUCAUUGACGAGCCCCAAAAUGACCGCGAACUUGUUGUUGUGUUUCUACACGCGAGAAGUGUAUGCUUCCGCAAUCCAAAACCCCCCAAGGCGCCGGUCUUGCGCCAAGGAAAGAAAUGACGGUGAGCGGGUGGAGUGAAAUGCUCCUCCGUUCUCUGGUGGUGCGCGAGGAGCGCACGUAAAUAAGAGUAAAACGACUCUCGGCAACGGAUAUCUUGGUUCUCGCAUCGAUGAAGAACGUAGCGAAAUGCGAUACUUGGUGUGAAUUGCAGAAUCCCGUGAACCAUCGAGUCUUUGAACGCAAGUUGCGCCCGAGGCGAAUCCGCCAAGGGCACGUCUGCCUGGGCGUCACGCAUCGCGUCGCUCUCCCCCUUCACUCAACCAUCUAUAUUAUAUUAUAGGUGGGUGGGUGGAUGCUGGGGGGUGCGGAAGUUGGCCUCCCGUGCGCUCGUUCGCUCGGCCGGCCUAAAUGUGUCGCGUUCCUUUGCAUCGGACGCCACGAGCAAUGGUGGUUGCCUCUGUCGACUUCGCAUGCUGUGGCGCCGAUGGUCCUUGGGAACAUCCCCUAGUGGCGACGCGAGGCACUCACUAGAGUGCCUUGGCAAGCCUCUCGACCGCGACCCCAGGUCAGGCGGGACUACCCGCUGAGUUUAAGCAUAUCAAU
rnacentral:rRNA from 1 species